rnacentral:lncRNA from 1 species
UCAGGACGUGAACUGGGUCUGUUGUGGCUGCCCUGCUAGUCUAUGGCCACUAGGAGCAUGAUGAAGACUGCACGGAUGAAGCGACUAUAGGAGUAUGGAAAAGAGGUCAUGGGUAGAGGAACAGUGGAUGUGAAGUAGAUAUUAAGGCCAAGGUUAGGCUUGUGGUUGAGGCUAGGGUUAGGGUUGAACAGGGAUGUGAAAUGAAGCCAGGGUUAGGGUUGUGGUUGAGGCUAGGGUUAUGGUUGAAUCAGGAUGUUGAUGUGAAGCUAGGAUUAUGGUUGAACCGGAAUGCUGACAUGAAGCUGGGGUUAGGGUUGAACCGGGAUGUACCAUGAAGCUAGGGUUAGGGUUGAACCGGGAUGUUGACAUGAAGCUAGGGUUAGGGUUGAACCGGGAUGUGGACAUGAUGCUAGGGUUAGGGUUGAAGCGGGAUGUUGACAUGAUGCUAGGGUUAGGGUUGAAGCGGGAUGUUGACAUGAAGCUAGGGGUAGGGUUGAACCGGGAUGUGUCAUGAAGCUAGGGUUAGGGUUGAACCGGGAUGUGCCAUGAAGCUAGGGUUAGGGUUGAACCGGGAUGUUGACAUGAAGCUAGGGUUAGGGUUGAACCGGGAUGUGCCAUGAAGCUAGGGUUAGGGUUGAACCGGGAUGUUGACAUGAAGCUAGGGUUAGGGUUGAACCGGGAUGUGCCAUGAAGCUAGGAUUAGGGUUGAACCGGGAUGUACCAUGAAGCUAGGGGUAGGG